rnacentral:rRNA from 1 species
CAGGCUUAACACAUGCAAGUCGAGGGGCAGCAUGGUCUUAGCUUGCUAAGGCCGAUGGCGACCGGCGCACGGGUGAGUAACACGUAUCCAACCUGCCGUCUACUCUUGGACAGCCUUCUGAAAGGAAGAUUAAUACAAGAUGGCAUCAUGAGUCCACAUGUUCACAUGAUUAAAGGUAUUCCGGUAGACGAUGGGGAUGCGUUCCAUUAGAUAGUAGGCGGGGUAACGGCCCACCUAGUCUUCGAUGGAUAGGGGUUCUGAGAGGAAGGUCCCCCACAUUGGAACUGAGACACGGUCCAAACUCCUACGGGAGGCAGCAGUGAGGAAUAUUGGUCAAUGGGCGAGAGCCUGAACCAGCCAAGUAGCGUGAAGGAUGACUGCCCUAUGGGUUGUAAACUUCUUUUAUAAAGGAAUAAAGUCGGGUAUGCAUACCCGUUUGCAUGUACUUUAUGAAUAAGGAUCGGCUAACUCCGUGCCAGCAGCCGCGGUAAUACGGAGGAUCCGAGCGUUAUCCGGAUUUAUUGGGUUUAAAGGGAGCGUAGAUGGAUGUUUAAGUCAGUUGUGAAAGUUUGCGGCUCAACCGUAAAAUUGCAGUUGAUACUGGAUAUCUUGAGUGCAGUUGAGGCAGGCGGAAUUCGUGGUGUAGCGGUGAAAUGCUUAGAUAUCACGAAGAACUCCGAUUGCGAAGGCAGCCUGCUAAGCUGCAACUGACAUUGAGGCUCGAAAGUGUGGGUAUCAAACAGGAUUAGAUACCCUGGUAGUCCACACGGUAAACGAUGAAUACUCGCUGUUUGCGAUAUACGGCAAGCGGCCAAGCGAAAGCGUUAAGUAUUCCACCUGGGGAGUACGCCGGCAACGGUGAAACUCAAAGGAAUUGACGGGGGCCCGCACAAGCGGAGGAACAUGUGGUUUAAUUCGAUGAUACGCGAGGAACCUUACCCGGGCUUAAAUUGCAGAUGAAUUACGGUGAAAGCCGUAAGCCGCAAGGCAUCUGUGAAGGUGCUGCAUGGUUGUCGUCAGCUCGUGCCGUGAGGUGUCGGCUUAAGUGCCAUAACGAGCGCAACCCUUGUUGUCAGUUACUAACAGGUUCCGCUGAGGACUCUGACAAGACUGCCAUCGUAAGAUGUGAGGAAGGUGGGGAUGACGUCAAAUCAGCACGGCCCUUACGUCCGGGGCUACACACGUGUUACAAUGGGGGGUACAGAGGGCCGCUACCACGCGAGUGGAUGCCAAUCCCCAAAACCUCUCUCAGUUCGGACUGGAGUCUGCAACCCGACUCCACGAAGCUGGAUUCGCUAGUAAUCGCGCAUCAGCCACGGCGCGGUGAAUACGUUCCCGGGCCUUGUACACACCGCCCGUCAAGCCAUGGGAGCCGGGGGUACCUGAAGUGCGUAACCGCGAGGAGCGCCCUAGGGUAAAACUGGUGACUGGGGCUAAG